rnacentral:rRNA from 1 species
GGGUUGUGAGGUUAAGCGACUAAGCGUACACGGUGGAUGCCCUGGCAGUCAGAGGCGAUGAAGGACGUGCUAAUCUGCGAUAAGCGUCGGUAAGGUGAUAUGAACCGUUAUAACCGGCGAUUUCCGAAUGGGGAAACCCAGUGUGUUUCGACACACUAUCAUUAACUGAAUCCAUAGGUUAAUGAGGCGAACCGGGGGAACUGAAACAUCUAAGUACCCCGAGGAAAAGAAAUCAACCGAGAUUCCCCCAGUAGCGGCGAGCGAACGGGGAGGAGCCCAGAGCCUGAAUCAGUGUGUGUGUUAGUGGAAGCGUCUGGAAAGGCGCGCGAUACAGGGUGACAGCCCCGUACACAAAAAUGCACAUGCUGUGAGCUCGAUGAGUAGGGCGGGACACGUGGUAUCCUGUCUGAAUAUGGGGGGACCAUCCUCCAAGGCUAAAUACUCCUGACUGACCGAUAGUGAACCAGUACCGUGAGGGAAAGGCGAAAAGAACCCCGGCGAGGGGAGUGAAAAAGAACCUGAAACCGUGUACGUACAAGCAGUGGGAGCACGCUUAGGCGUGUGACUGCGUACCUUUUGUAUAAUGGGUCAGCGACUUAUAUUCUGUAGCAAGGUUAACCGAAUAGGGGAGCCGAAGGGAAACCGAGUCUUAACUGGGCGUUAAGUUGCAGGGUAUAGACCCGAAACCCGGUGAUCUAGCCAUGGGCAGGUUGAAGGUUGGGUAACACUAACUGGAGGACCGAACCGACUAAUGUUGAAAAAUUAGCGGAUGACUUGUGGCUGGGGGUGAAAGGCCAAUCAAACCGGGAGAUAGCUGGUUCUCCCCGAAAGCUAUUUAGGUAGCGCCUCGUGAAUUCAUCUCCGGGGGUAGAGCACUGUUUCGGCAAGGGGGUCAUCCCGACUUACCAACCCGAUGCAAACUGCGAAUACCGGAGAAUGUUAUCACGGGAGACACACGGCGGGUGCUAACGUCCGUCGUGAAGAGGGAAACAACCCAGACCGCCAGCUAAGGUCCCAAAGUCAUGGUUAAGUGGGAAACGAUGUGGGAAGGCCCAGACAGCCAGGAUGUUGGCUUAGAAGCAGCCAUCAUUUAAAGAAAGCGUAAUAGCUCACUGGUCGAGUCGGCCUGCGCGGAAGAUGUAACGGGGCUAAACCAUGCACCGAAGCUGCGGCAGCGACGCUUAUGCGUUGUUGGGUAGGGGAGCGUUCUGUAAGCCUGUGAAGGUGUGCUGUGAGGCAUGCUGGAGGUAUCAGAAGUGCGAAUGCUGACAUAAGUAACGAUAAAGCGGGUGAAAAGCCCGCUCGCCGGAAGACCAAGGGUUCCUGUCCAACGUUAAUCGGGGCAGGGUGAGUCGACCCCUAAGGCGAGGCCGAAAGGCGUAGUCGAUGGGAAACAGGUUAAUAUUCCUGUACUUGGUGUUA